CCCUUAGACGUUCUGGGCCGCACGCGCGCUACACUGACGAAGGCAACGAGCUUUCCUUUACCGAAAGGUACGGGUAAUCUUUUGAAACUUCGUCGUGCUGGGGAUAGAUCCUCGCAAUUUUUGAUCUUAAACGAGGAAUGCCUAGUAAGCGCAAGUCAUCAACUUGCGUUGAUUACGUCCCUGCCCUUUGUACACACCGCCCGUCGCUACUACCGAUUGAAUGGUUUAGUGAGGCCUUCGGAUCCGCGACUCGUUUGUGGAGAAGUUGGACAAACUCAGUCAUUUAGAGGAAGUAAAAGUCGUAACA
rnacentral:rRNA from 1 species